rnacentral:rRNA from 1 species
GACGAACGCUGGCGGCGUGCUUAACACAUGCAAGUCGAACGGAAAGGCCCUGCUUUUGUGGGGUGCUCGAGUGGCGAACGGGAGAGUAACACGUGAGUAACCUGCCCUUGACUUUGGGAUAACUUCAGGAAACUGGGGCUAAUACCGGAUAGGAGCUCCUGCUGCAUGGUGGGGGUUGGAAAGUUUCGGCGGUUGGGGAUGGACUCGCGGCUUAUCAGCUUGUUGGUGGGGUAGUGGCUUACCAAGGCUUUGACGGGUAGCCGGCCUGAGAGGGUGACCGGCCACAUUGGGACUGAGAUACGGCCCAGACUCCUACGGGAGGCAGCAGUGGGGAAUAUUGCACAUUGGGCGGAAGCCUGAUGCAGCAACGCCGCGUGCGGGAUGACGGCCUUCGGGUUGUAAACCGCUUUCGCCUGUGACGAAGCGUGAGUGACGGUAAUGGGUAAAGAAGCACCGGCUAACUACGUG